GACGCUGGCGGCGUGCUUAACACAUGCAAGUCGAGCGGUAAGGCCCCUUCGGGGGUACACGAGCGGCGAACGGGUGAGUAACACGUGAGCAAUCUGCCCUUCACUUUGGGAUAACUCUGGGAAACGAGAGCUAAUACCGAAUACGACCACUUCAGGCAUCUGAUGGUGGUGGAAAGUUCCGGCGGUGAAGGAUGAGCUCGCGGCCUAUCAGCUAGUUGGUGGAGUAACGGCCCACCAAGGCUUCGACGGGUAGCCGGCCUGAGAGGGUGACCGGCCACACUGGGACUGAGACACGGCCCAGACUCCUACGGGAGGCAGCAGUGGGGAAUAUUGGACAAUGGGCGAAAGCCUGAUCCAGCAACGCCGCGUGAGGGAUGACGGCCUUCGGGUUGUAAACCUCUUUCAGUAGGGACGAAGCGCAAGUGACGGUACCUACAGAAGAAGCACCGGCCAACUACGUGCCAGCAGCCGCGGUAAUACGUAGGGUGCGAG
rnacentral:rRNA from 1 species